rnacentral:lncRNA from 1 species
GGCUGCGGGGCUGGGGCGCCUCCACGACGCCUGGUCUGCCCGGCCAGUGCUUGGUGUCGUUGGUGGGUUCGUAGCUGCGACGGGUAAACGUCCGUUCCGCGAGCCGGGCAAGGCAACCCCUGCGGGUCGCGCCCGAAGGCCGGACCCCUCCAAGCCGCCUGGGUGCUUCCAAACAGGUGGACCCGAAGCUCCUGUUUGAUCGGAGAACAACGUUCAAUUUACUCCGCCACGGAACUGAUGGUUUAAGUAUUCAUCUUUGGAUAUGUUUCACAUUAGGCAAAAAUUAGGAGCUUGGAGGCGGUUCCGGGAAGGGGCCUGACCCUCAGUCACCCACGUUCGUAGCCGGGUGGUCUGCCCUCGGGCAAGAGAAGGAAGAUGAUUGGGAGGGUGCCAAGAAAGCCUAGAGAAAGUCCCUUCUGGGUUCAGCGGCUGUAGCCGCUCUCCCAGGACGUUUGUUGGCAAUAAAUGAAGGAAGGUCGGCCUGGAGACGUUUUCGCACAACGGACAGAGGGGAGUUGGAGCGUAAACCAGCGAGAAGCUGGCAUGACAUAGGACCCCUCUAUUCUCAGUUUGUUUCCAAACUCUUAGACUGCCCCAGCCCUGCCGGAUUUGCUAAAAGUGGUCUCUUCUGGACGCUGGUGGGGCUGUGGGGCGGACGGCUGCCUGUGCAAAGAAGAGGGAAGAAUUGGAAGCUGGGGUCUGGGCAGCUACCAAAGGUGGGGCUUGGGAACUUUUCAGAACGUCCUCAGAACCGCAGGAGCCAAGAGGAAAUCUCCCGUAGGGGAUCUCAGAUUCCCCACAGGAGAAGGCAGAAAACUAAUCCAUUAUUAAAGUGAAGAGAGGAGAGAGGAGCCAAGAUGGCCAAAUAGGAACAGCUCCGGUCUACAGCUCCCAGCGUGAGAGACGCAGAAGACAGGCGAUUUCUCCAUUUCCAUCUGAGGUACCGGGUUCAUCUCACUAGGGAGUGCCAGACAGUGGGCGCAGAUUGUGCAAUAUAACAGAGGAACCAAG